UACGUAGGGUGCGAGCGUUAAUCGGAAUUACUGGGCGUAAAGCGUGCGCAGGCGGUUUUGUAAGCCGGAUGUGAAAUCCCCGGGCUUAACCUGGGAAUGGCAUUUGGGACUGCAAGGCUGGAGUGUGGCAGAGGAGACUGGAAUUCCCGGUGUAGCAGUGAAAUGCGUAGAUAUCGGGAGGAAUACCGAUGGCGAAGGCAGGUCUCUGGGCUGACACUGACGCUCAUGCACGAAAGCGUGGGGAGCAAACAGG
rnacentral:rRNA from 1 species